AUGAACCUCACUUGUGGGGGGAUUAGUGGCGAACGGGUGAGUAACACGUGAGUAACCUGCCCCUGACUCUGGGAUAAGCCAGGGAGACCGGGUCUAAUACUGGAUACGACCUUCCCGCGCAUGCGGUGUUGGUGGAAAGCUUUUGUGGUUUUGGAUGGACUCGCGGCCUAUCAGCUUGUUGGUGGGGUAAUGGCCUACCAAGGCGACGACGGGUAGCCGGCCUGAGAGGGUGACCGGCCACACUGGGACUGAGACACGGCCCAGACUCCUACGGGAGGCAGCAGUGGGGAAUAUUGCACAAUGGGCGCAAGCCUGAUGCAGCGACGCCGCGUGAGGGAUGAAGGCCUUCGGGUUGUAAACCUCUUUCAGUAGGGAAGAAGCUGGUCCUUUUGGGGUUGGUGACGGUACCUGCAGAAGAAGCGCCGGCUAACUACGUGCCAGCAGCCGCGGUAAUACGUAGGGCGCAAGCGUUAUCCGGAAUUAUUGGGCGUAAAGAGCUCGUAGGCGGUUUGUCGCGUCUGCCGUGAAGGUCCGGGGCUUAACUCCGGAUCUGCGGUGGGUACGGGCAGACUAGAGUGCAGUAGGGGAGACUGGAAUUCCUGGUGUAGCGGUGAAAUGCGCAGAUAUCAGGAGGAACACCGAUGGCGAAGGCAGGUCUCUGGGCUGUAACUGACGCUGAGGAGCGAAAGCAUGGGGAGCGAACAGGAUUAGAUACCCUGGUAGUCCAUGCCGUAAA
rnacentral:rRNA from 1 species